rnacentral:rRNA from 1 species
UACGGAGGGUGCAAGCGUUGCUCGGAAUUAUUGGGCGUAAAGGGUAGGUAGGUGGUCUCAUUUGUCUGUGGUGAAAGCCUUGGGCUUAACUCAAGAAGUGCCACAGAAACGGUGAGACUGGAGUCCUGGAGAGGGUCGUGGAAUUCCCGGUGUAGCGGUGAAAUUCGUAGAUAUUGGGAAGAACACCGGUGGCGAAGGCGGCGACCUGGUCCUUUUACUGACGCUGAGGCGCGAAAGCGUGGGGAGCAAACAGG